AUCAAUAGUAAUUCAUGAUGCAAAAUGAGUGUGUCACUCCUAUAGUAAUUCAUGAUGCAAAAUGAGUGUAUCACUCCCCCCUUAGGCUUCCUCCUCCAUGGUCUCUCCCCAGAUGGGGAGAGGUUCUCCCCUAUGGUCCUUGGCCGCCAUGGCUCCCGAAGGGGCAAUAGCCCCUGCAGGAUUGGAUCUCUCUCUCUCU
rnacentral:lncRNA from 1 species